UGGGGAAUUUUGGACAAUGGGGGCAACCCUGAUCCAGCCAUGCCGCGUGAGUGAAGAAGGCCUUCGGGUUGUAAAGCUCUUUCGGCCGGGACGAAAUCGCACGGGUGAAUACCCCGUGUGGAUGACGGUACCGGAAGAAGAAGCACCGGCUAACUACGUGCCAGCAGCCGCGGUAAUACGUAGGGUGCGAGCGUUAAUCGGAAUUACUGGGCGUAAAGCGUGCGCAGGCGGUUUUGUAAGCCAGAUGUGAAAUCCCCGAGCUUAACUUGGGAACUGCAUUUGGGACUGCAAGGCUAGAGUACGGCAGAGGGGGGUAGAAUUCCUGGUGUAGCAGUGAAAUGCGUAGAUAUCAGGAGGAAUACCGAUGGCGAAGGCAGCCCCCUGGGUCGAUACUGACGCUCAUGCACGAAAGCGUGGGGAGCAAACAGG
rnacentral:rRNA from 1 species